rnacentral:rRNA from 1 species
AUUGAACGCUGGCGGAAUGCUUUACACAUGCAAGUCGAACGGCAGCACGGGGGCAGUCCUGGAGGCGAGUGGCGAACGGGUGAGUAAUACAUCGGCACGUGCCCGGGCGUGGGGGAUAAAGUAGCGAAAGUUACGCUAAUACCGCAUACGCUCUGAGGAUGAAAGCGGGGGACCUUCGGGCCUCGCGCGAUCGGCGCGGCCGAUGUCAGAUUAGGUAGUUGGUGGGGUAAAGGCCUACCAAGCCGACGAUCUGUAGCUGGUCUGAGAGGACGACCAGCCACACUGGGACUGAGACACGGCCCAGACUCCUACGGGAGGCAGCAGUGGGGAAUUUUGGACAAUGGGCGCAAGCCUGAUCCAGCCAUGCCGCGUGCAGGACGAAGGCCUUCGGGUUGUAAACUGCUUUUGUACGGAACGAAAAGGCUCUGGCUAAUACCUGGGGCUCAUGACGGUACCGUAAGAAUAAGCACCGGCUAACUACGUG